CUGGAAGUUCUCUGAACAAGGGACAUGCUCUAAAUCUGUUUUGAGCAACUUGGGUUGAAUUAUGCAAUACUGGGGAAAAUCAUCAACGGAAAGGAUGGAACCUGAGCAUGAACUUUGUGCCUUCCGUGCAAGGCUGACAAAGGGCACUAAACUGCUGUGCUUGUGAAAGAGAGGAGAGCAAGCAAUAUAUUUAAUAAACGUACCCAAUUCAACUUGGAAAACUUCUGAUAUUUUGAAAGACUUACUAGAGCUGGUUAGCAGUAGGUGACUAUAAAAUCCAAGCCAGACAUCUCCAGCCAUUCCUAGGGUCAAAGACUGGACUUUAACCAUCUGUGUUUAUUCUUUCCACCUCAAAUCCCACUAACUAAGUGUUACAUGAAGAUUGGCAGUCUGGAGAUUCUAAGUGUUUUUAUUCCCCAGGAUGUAAUACAGAGAGAGGAGGAUCACUUGGGUUUGCCAAAAUACACUCCUCAUUUCACCUCCAGCAGCAGUAGCUAUGGAAGGAGUCGUGUGAUCAUCCUGUUCGCAGUAGACUCUCUUUUUCUCGCUGGACCUUGACAAUCCAAAUGUGCAAAGAGAAAAAGAAAGGAUAAACUGAAUGCUGAAGGUUAUUGCAGGUGAGAUUCUGUUGAAAAUGUAAAGGAAAAUGAAAGCAACCAGGACGCUGAAGGAUUCCAGUUUUCAUUAUCACACUUGGACUAUUGUACAUGUCUGCACCAAAAGUAAUGCCUCCUAUUUUUUCUGUGAAAAUGACAAAGACAUGUAGAGCACAAUACUGUUUGAUAGAGCAUAUUCACAGCUACAAGACUAAUUUUCAGCACACCAUUGCUAGGUAUGCACUUUUGUAUGGGAAAUUGGUAAUCACAGCCUGAAACUCUGAUUAAUCAGCUGAGGCAAGUGUCAGGUCAGCUGUGGGAGCGCAGGUGAGAGUAAUUUAGCUGUGCUCCCCGGCGGGGUGGAGCUUGACUCCUCCUCCUCUAUACUUCAUUUAAGGGCUGACCACUACUAAGGCAGUAUUUCUCUUGGAGGUUGCUCCCCAGUUGAGGUUGGCUCAGUAUUUCCUAGCAAAGGCAUCCAUAUUGGUGAGUUUUUCCUUUUAAAUAACUUUUGAAAUAUCUGUUAUAAUCUUUGUAUCAUUCUACCUUAUAACUUUCAUCAGUGGUGAACAGGUGCCUACAUGCCAUGUAAUAAAAAUAAUGAUGCUUGGAAGGUUCA
rnacentral:lncRNA from 1 species